GGACUGAACCAUUUCUAAAAUCCCUUACACUGAUGAAAUUCUGUGAUUCCAGUGUAACUACCAAGCUCACUUUCAUAUACCUCCUGAGACACAGCUGGUCUUAGUGAAUUUAUAUCCUCUAUGUCCAAAACUGAGCUCCAAGCCUGGAAUCUUCUAAAAAGGGUCCACUGCCAAUCUGGAAUGCCAACAAAUCUUAUUAAUAUAGCUCCACAUUUGUAAGCUUCUACUAAAUUCUCCAAGAACCUGCCUAUCAGUUAAGUCCUGAAAUGCUCCAGUGCCAAAUAAAAGCCCACUGUGCAGAUAGAAAUGCUUUUGGUGACUCUUAAACAUUUAUUCAAAGGUAUUUAGUGAGUAUCUGUCAGCUGUAUAUCCAGCACUGAGGGAAGACUCAGUCUCUGCCAUCACAUACACCUCAGCACUAAGAAGAGACACAUGAAAUAAUUACCAUCCAGUGUGAUAAGUGCUCUGACAGAGGAUGGAGAGAGGACUAGUCACCUUGCGGAAGACAGAGAAGCAGGGUCCCACCAGGAGAUGAGGAGAAGCCAGCCUCCAGGAGUGCGCUAUCUGAGAGGCCAAGAGAAGGAAGGCAAAGAGGACGGGUCCAUACUUGAACAACUUGAAGUAGGUGUAUCUAGUGCCUAAGAGUGUGUAUGGUGACAUCUUGUGGAGCAGCGAACAUGACCCUCAUUUGGUUUGUUAAAGCAUUGGGUCAAAUGCCACGGGAAUGUAACAGGUAAAUGGUCUUUGCCUUAUAACACAGGGUAUCCCAUCCGUGUAAGACAAUGAAUUUUUAAAAAGGCAAAACCAAACCUUUUGUUUACAUCAUUUGCCUUAAAUAGUUCUUAGUACACAAAUUCUUCCUUGCUUGGGGCCAUUAUGGUGUGUGGAAGUAGAAAAAGAUAAACUGUAGCUUACAGAAAUAGAAAAGCAAUUUUUUCCUAUGAUAGAGGCAUAUGGAUACAAAAAACAAACAGGUAACACAUAAUAAGUUCCAAAUGAGGCAUUUUGUUGAAAUUCAAUGUUGAGCAUAAACAGUGAACUCAAAUGCACAGAGGAGGCCUCAUGGAAGGGUGACAAAACACUCCAGAGCAAUAACAGCUACCCUAUUUUCUGUUCCCUGGGAGUAGGGAGAAAAGACAUCAAAAUCAAAUUAUAAAUUUAAAAAAGUAUUAAAAUUCUCUUAUGGAAAUAUAUUAAGAAGUUUGUUAGGCAAAUGGAAAACGUUUUGUGGAAACAAGAAAUAAGAAAGAAUGGCCAUCACUUAAAGCAACAGAAUGUAUCUCUCCCACUAGCUCUCCCCUCCCUACCCACAGCUUUAUUCAUAUUUGUUCUAUAACAUUUCAGCACAGUUCAGACCUUCCGCUGAGCCAGUGUGAGGUCAGGGUGUUGAGGAAGCGAGUCCCUGCAGUCAGACUCCAGCUGGCUGUCGUCCUGCUUCUGCUUAUUCCACAGAAUGAGUCUGGUGGGGGAGAGGAAAUUCCUAACCUGUUUUUUUUUACACAUCUUCAUCAGAAAAGUGAAAGCACUAAUUACUGUCCAUAAUAAAACUACUGGGAAGGUUACUUAGCUUGUAAAUAAGUUCCACAAAGCCAUUUCAGUAAAAACUUCCUGGUUCUAAAAUUGGGAAAAGCAGGAUAAUCCUCUAAGGCUGACAUUCUUUCUCUUUUGUGCAUUUACAACUAAACGGUCACUGAUAAACAUUUCCACAGUGACCCUGCAAUAUCCACAUUGGCUUUCUUCUAAGACACUUCAAAAAUACAUCACACCUUUAUGUGUUAAAUAUCACUAUUGGCAUAUAUCUUUAAAAACAUUUAUUUUCUUAAUUCUCAAAAUACAGAAAAGAAUGUUAUGCUAUUGUGUGCACAAACUGCUAUUUUCAAUAAGGAGCUCUUAAUUUAGAAAGUUGCUAUUUUUCAAUAAAGAGCUCUCAAUUAGAAAUAUCAAGAAGUGAUGUUAAGUUUUUAUGGAAAUAAAUAAAGUAUCAUGACAUGAAAAGUUUAUAAUUUUUCCCCCAGCAAUGGCUUACUCAGGGAAUUUUUCUUAUAUCUAAAGUUAAUGAUCUGAAAAGUGGUAAUCUUAUCAUUCACCAAGAUUUCAGGAUAUAAGUUAUUCCUACAGAACAAUCCAUUUUUACCUUUAAAGAUGAGUUUGUGUACUUCAGAAGACGUGAUGCCAGUUGGCCACCAUCUCAAUCAGUAGUAAGUCACACCAUCAAUCCCUUGUUAAUGAUGGAACUCAUGUGAAGUCAAGAGGAAACAUAAUACUCUUUACCUCAUUCCCUGGUAGCAGAGAAGUUGACUCAUCUUUAAUGUCAGUUAUUGAGAUGUAACACAGAAUCAUAUUCUACAGAAAAUAUGUGAUAAACUUUACACAAAUGAAUACACUUUAGAAAGGCAGUCAUUUGGAUUCUUUUUGUCAGAGAACAUUGCAAGUCUUCAUGAAGAAUUUCUGAGAAAUUAAACACUUUAUAUGACAUUUUACAGCAUGUAGAGAGGUUGAAACUCAGAGAACUAAAACUCAGAUGAUAGUCUAAAUACUUAAUUUGUUGCUGCUUUAUGCUGGACAUGAAAAGUGUGAGCUUAAAUUAUAAAUAAAAAACUAUUGAGCUAUCAAA